rnacentral:rRNA from 1 species
CUUCGGGUCUAGUGGCGCACGGGUGCGUAACGCGUGGGAAUCUGCCCUUGGGUUCGGGAUAACAGUUGGAAACGACUGCUAAUACCGGAUGAUGACUUCGGUCCAAAGAUUUAUCGCCCAGGGAUGAGCCCGCGUAGGAUUAGCUAGUUGGUGAGGUAAAGGCUCACCAAGGCGACGAUCCUUAGCUGGUCUGAGAGGAUGAUCAGCCACACUGGGACUGAGACACGGCCCAGACUCCUACGGGAGGCAGCAGUGGGGAAUAUUGGACAAUGGGCGAAAGCCUGAUCCAGCAAUGCCGCGUGAGUGAUGAAGGCCUUAGGGUUGUAAAGCUCUUUUACCCGGGAUGAUAAUGACAGUACCGGGAGAAUAAGCCCCGGCUAACUCCGUGCCAGCAGCCGCGGUAAUACGGAGGGGGCUAGCGUUGUUCGGAAUUACUGGGCGUAAAGCGUACGUAGGCGGCUUUGUAAGUUAGAGGUGAAAGCCCAGAGCUCAACUCUGGAAUUGCCUUUAAGACUGCAUCGCUUGAAUCGUGGAGAGGUUAGUGGAAUUCCGAGUGUAGAGGUGAAAUUCGUAAAUAUUCGGAAGAACACCAGUGGCGAAGGCGACUAACUGGACACGUAUUGCCGCUGAGGUACAAAAAGCGUGGGGAGCAAA